rnacentral:rRNA from 1 species
UGCCCAGACUCCUACGGGAGGCAGCAGUGGGGAAUAUUGGGCAAUGGGGGAAACCCUGACCCAGCGACGCCGCGUGAGGGAAGAAGGUUUUCGGAUUGUAAACCUCUGUCCUUGGUGACGAUAAUGACGGUAGCCAAGGAGGAAGCCACGGCUAACUACGUGCCAGCAGCCGCGGUAAUACGUAGGUGGCGAGCGUUGUCCGGAAUUACUGGGUGUAAAGGGAGCGCAGGCGGAUUGACAAGUUGGGAGUGAAAACUACGGGCUCAACCCGUAACCUGCUUUCAAAACUGUCAGUCUUGAGUGGUGUAGAGGUAGGCGGAAUUCCCGGUGUAGCGGUGGAAUGCGUAGAUAUCGGGAGGAACACCAGUGGCGAAGGCGGCCUACUGGGCACUAACUGACGCUGAGGCUCGAAAGCAUGGGUAGCAAACAGGAUUAGAUACCCUUGUA